GAUGAACGCUAGCGGCAGGCUUAACACAUGCAAGUCGAGGGGUAUAGUUCUUCGGAGCUAGAGACCGGCGCACGGGUGCGUAACGCGUAUGCAAUCUACCUUUUACAGGGGGAUAGCCCAGAGAAAUUUGGAUUAAUACCCCAUAGUAUAAUGAGUUGGCAUCAGCUUAUUAUUAAAGUACCAACGGUAAAAGAUGAGCAUGCGUCCCAUUAGCUAGAUGGUAAGGUAACGGCUUACCAUGGCCACGAUGGGUAGGGGUCCUGAGAGGGAGAUCCCCCACACUGGUACUGAGACACGGACCAGACUCCUACGGGAGGCAGCAGUGAGGAAUAUUGGUCAAUGGGCGCAAGCCUGAACCAGCCAUGCCGCGUGCAGGAAGAAUGUCCUAUGGAUUGUAAACUGCUUUUGCACAGGAAGAAACAACUCUACGAGUAGAGUCUUGACGGUACUGUGAGAAUAAGGAUCGGCUAACUCCGUGCCAGCAGCCGCCGUAACAC
rnacentral:rRNA from 1 species